AGUGAACGCUGGCGGUAGGCCUAACACAUGCAGGUCGAACGGCAGCACAGUAAGAGCUUGCUCUUACGGGUGGCGAGUGGCGGACGGGUGAGGAAUACAUCGGAAUCUACUUUUUCGUGGGGGAUAACGUAGGGAAACUUACGCUAAUACCGCAUACGACCUACGGGUGAAAGCAGGGGAUCUUCGGACCUUGCGCGAUUGAAUGAGCCGAUGUCGGAUUAGCUAGUUGGCGGGGUAAAGGCCCACCAAGGCGACGAUCCGUAGCUGGUCUGAGAGGAUGAUCAGCCACACUGGAACUGAGACACGGUCCAGACUCCUACGGGAGGCAGCAGUGGGAAAUAUUGGACAAUGGGCGCAAGCCUGAUCCAGCCAUACCGCGUGGGUGAAGAAGGCCUUCGGGUUGUAAAGCCCUUUUGUUGGGAAAGAAAAGCAGCAGGUUAAUACCCCGCUGUUCUGACGGUACCCAAAGAAUAAGCACCGGCUAACUUCGUG
rnacentral:rRNA from 1 species